AACAUAAGUGAAGCUAGGAAGGGCUUUCUGGUUGCUGAUUCAGACCAGAAGACCAAGACCUUCUGAACACCAGAUCUGAAGAUAGCAAUCAGUGAAAGAUGUUUUGAGGACCUUUACAGUGUGAACUGGAUUCCACAAUGCAAAUGAGAACUCUGUGAACCCCUGGAAAGGCAUGCCCAUAACUUGGGGGUUAAGUAUCCCUCCCUCUUCCUUACAACAGCAAACAACUCUUUUGGAGCCAAGUACCUUCCCUCUGUGUGCGUGACUCUUGAAUUCUCUCCGCGAGUAUAAAAUUCUUCAUAUACAAUGAUAAAACUGAGGCGGGCUCUGCC
rnacentral:lncRNA from 1 species